GUGGGGAAUUUUGGACAAUGGGCGAAAGCCUGAUCCAGCCAUGCCGCGUGCAGGAUGAAGGCCUUCGGGUUGUAAACUGCUUUUGUACGGAACGAAAAGCCUCUUUCUAAUAAAGAGAGGUCAUGACGGUACCGUAAGAAUAAGCACCGGCUAACUACGUGCCAGCAGCCGCGGUAAUACGUAGGGUGCGAGCGUUAAUCGGAAUUACUGGGCUUAAAGCGUGCGCAGGCGGUGAUGUAAGACAGAUGUGAAAUCCCCGGGCUCAACCUGGGAACUGCAUUUGUGACUGCAUCGCUGGAGUGCGGCAGAGGGGGAUGGAAUUCCGCGUGUAGCAGUGAAAUGCGUAGAUAUGCGGAGGAACACCGAUGGCGAAGGCAAUCCCCUGGGCCUGCACUGACGCUCAUGCACGAAAGCGUGGGGAGCAAACAGGAUUAGAUACCCGUGUAGUCC
rnacentral:rRNA from 1 species